rnacentral:misc_RNA from 1 species
GAUGAAGAACGUAGCGAAAUGCGAUAAGUAAUGUGAAUUGCAGAAUUCAGUGAAUCAUCGAAUCUUUGAGCGCACAUUGCGCCCCCUGGUAUUCCGGGGGGCAUGCCUGUCCGAGCGUCAUUGCUGCCCUCAAGCACGGCUUGUGUGUUGGGCCUCCGUCCUCCUCCCGGGGGACGGGCCCGAAAGGCAGCGGCGGCACCGCGUCCGGUCCUCGAGCGUAUGGGGCUUCGUCACCCGCUCUUGUAGGCCCGGCCGGCGCUUGCCGACACAUCAAUCUUUUUUCCAGGUUGACCUCGGAUCAGGUAGGGAUACCCGCUGAACUUAAGCAUAUCAAUAAGCGGAGGA